rnacentral:rRNA from 1 species
UCCACGCCGUAAACGAUGAAUACUAGGUGUCGGCCCGUCAAGGGUCGGUGCCGCAGCUAACGCAUUAAGUAUUCCACCUGGGGAGUACGAUCGCGAGAUUGAAACUCAAAGGAAUUGACGGGGGCCCGCACAAGCGGUGGAGCAUGUGGUUUAAUUCGAAGCAACGCGAAGAACCUUACCAGGUCUUGACAUCCUUUUGACCGGAACUUAAUCGUUCCUUUCCUUCGGGACAGAAGUGACAGGUGGUGCAUGGUUGUCGUCAGCUCGUGUCGUGAGAUGUUGGGUUAAGUCCCGCAACGA